CAGGUUAGGGUUUGAUUUGAUACUCAAAAUUUCAAAGAAGCAAAUUCCAGAAGUGCUUUUUGAUGCUCAGAAUUGUGUUGUCCUGUUUAUUGUUAAGUUCGAAAAAGUGAAAUUUGGAGUAAAAGCUUCUUCAAAGUAAUUGAAGUUCCCUCAGAUUUCUUCAAGUCAGUGGAUAAAACAGCUUCUUGACUAAUCUUUGACAACUUUUUAAGAGAGAUCCUCCGUGCAAAAACUUCAAACCAGCGUGAAAAUAGGUCUCAUUGCUUUCAAAACCAAAUCCAGAAUUCUUAUAGUAAACUGCACUUUCUUUUAGUCUUGCGGCAUCUUCCAGGGUGCCAACGGCAGUUUGCUUAGCACUUGUUCUCACAGGAUUUGACACGGUGAGUUGUUGGCCAGGUGCAACACUUCCAGAACUACACUUAAUUAAGACAUUGCCGCUAGCAUCAGCAGAAUUUCUCACUAACUUGGUCAAACCACCAUUGUCUGCAGAAGCUGGAUGUUCAUUAGAGAUAUCCCCUUUUAAUUUUGGAAGUAGUGCUAGGCAAUGUGCAAGUUUCUUCCUCAUAUCAUGACUGCAUCCUCCAAUGAUGCAGCAGCCUGCAGUUGUGAUAAGUCAGCCUGUAGGGUUGUUGCCAACUCCGCAACAGAUGUAUUUUCAUUUGAAACAACAAAAACUGCAUACAUCAACUCUUCAAUAGGAUCUUCACAAGACUGCUCCCUGUUGGACACAAAACCUUCAAGCCUUGAAAUUUUAAACCGAUCCUCGGGAUACAGUAUUUUGUCUAUAGCGGCAACCUCCUCCUCAGAGAGUUUCUUAAAUUCUUCCAAGGUCUUAAAGCAUCUGCUGCACUAAAAUUUGGAAUGCUGUCAUAAGGUUGCUCGUUUUUCAUGGCUUCAAAAAUCAAUAUCACAAUAAUAUCUGAAAGGAGACACCUUCAUUAUACGGCAAACAUACUCUGCCAAAUGAUAAGGAAACAACUUCGGUGCCAUUCGUUUUUGGUAGCUUGAAUCCGCUUCAGUAGAUCCUCCCAUGGAUACUCUUUGUUAGUCGCUUUUUUUUUUUGCAACCGUUGUUCCUCAACUGUAACUGGAGCAUGCGCAGUGAAGAUUGGAGGUGAGGGAAAUCUAAACGAAAUCAAAAGCAUGCCGGUAACCUCCCUGCGGUACCGACGAGCAGAUGAAUUGGUUGAGGUAAUCAACAGCAUGUUCAAUAAGCAGUCUUCGACACUUGGAGAUAUCCAACUCCUGAACUGCUUCAAAGAUUAAGGUAUCUAACAGUUUUUAUGGGAAUUCAUAAUUCUUUCUUAUAGGAUGUCCAGAACUAAUACAGCACUGUUCUAUAAUCUUCCUUUGCAUUGGAUCCGUGACAUAUGAAGCAGGUAUGAGUGACAGUGAUAGUUGUGAAAAGAUUAAAAUUUGUGUCAACUUUGAUAUCCGUAGUGAUGUUUUUGUUCUUCAACUGGGUAUUAACAUCACCCAAAAACAGUUCACCCUUCUUUGUCCCUGAGGAUGUUAUAGCAACUCCAGUAGGUGAGUAAGUGCUGAUAGUGAACUUCUUGUCACUGUGAUAAUCCUUGUACAACAGAUCUCUGGCUUUCUUGUUGAUGUGCGGUUUUGACCAAUGUGAUUAAUUUUUGCAGGUUAUGGCUGGUGUGAUCGGUUAAGUGUGACAGAAGUGUGGAUUGAGGAGUUGUUGAUGAAGUGAAAGGUGAGUGUGAGGGUGUUAUUCAGUUGGAAAUUUUGUAAUGGGUUGAGGGAUUUAUGGAGAGUUAAUAGAGAGUUUGUUAGAGGAGGGAAUAUGUGAUUGUAAGCAUUCCGUUCAGUGGAAAAUUCUUUGUUGGAGCUGUUGAGGGAGUUAUAUCGCUCUGUCCAGCCGUAUCCCAAAUUUGCAGUUUGACGGUUUUGCCUUCAAGUUCCAAUGGCUGGGAUAAUACAGAUCCCAACACUGUCACCCCAACCUUCUUCAAUUUCUCGAACACGGGCUUCGUUUACAAGCUGUUGCUGAAGUUUCUGUUGUGGGGAGCCAAAUGAUUAUCAGCGGUUACGGGUCACAGUUGUGCUUGCUGUAAUGACAAUGCCGACAUUCACUUACGGUAAUUUGAGUAAUUCCAUUUGGCUUGCUGCUGUUAUGCUAUGUUUUUUCUGUCAUGGAAAUUUUGCAGGUAGUUUUGAUAGCAGCUCCAGAUAUGUUUUCCAUAAUCAAUAACAAAUUCAGCAGUGCCUCUGCUACCAAACUCAGCAUCAUUUGUGGUAGGUUUUGAAUUAAACCGCGUAUCUUUCCUGGGUGAUGUAGAGCGCAACAGAGCCGGGGAUACCACGUUCUCGUUUUUAAGGCCUCUACAAGUAACCAUACAAGAUAUAUCAAGAGAACUCGAAUUGUCACAAUUUCUGUUCUCUUUCGAUUCUCUAAAGGAAUUAGAGCAGGCAUUCAGCUCGUAGACAGAAGUGUGAAACUCGUCCUUUGAUGCUUCCCGUCAAACAACAAAAUGUAAGGCAAAAUUGUAGCUUCAACAAAAAAACUUGACUUGUCGGACCUCACAUUAUUAGGAUGCUUUUUCUUGUGGAGGAAAUUUGUGAGAUACUUGGAGACAACUAAAGAUCAUUCUGCAUGAUAAUGAUUCACUAAAUUCCCAUUGAUCCACAAGUC